rnacentral:rRNA from 1 species
CAGCCGCCGCGGGAAUACGGAGGGAGCUAGCGUUGUUCGGAAUUACUGGGCGUAAAGCGCGCGUAGGCGGUUAUUUAAGUCAGGGGUGAAAGCCCGGUGCUCAACACCGGAACAGCCCUUGAGACUGGAUAACUUGAAUCCAGGAGAGGUGAGUGGAAUUCCGAGUGUAGAGGUGAAAUUCGUAGAUAUUCGGAAGAACACCAGUGGCGAAGGCGGCUCACUGGACUGGUAUUGACGCUGAGGUGCGAAAGCGUGGGGAGCAAACAGGAUUAGAUACCCCCGUAGUCCCUGUCUCUUAUAC